rnacentral:rRNA from 1 species
CGGGUAGAGAAUACCAAGGCGCUUGAGAGAACUCGGGUGAAGGAACUAGGCAAAAUGGUACCGUAACUUCGGGAGAAGGUACGCUCUUGAUGGUGAAGUCCCUUGCGGAUGGAGCUGACGAGAGUCGCAGAUACCAGGUGGCUGCAACUGUUUAUUAAAAACACAGCACUGUGCAAAAUCGUAAGAUGACGUAUACGGUGUGACGCCUGCCCGGUGCCGGAAGGUUAAUUGAUGGGGUUAGACUUCGGUCGAAGCUCUUGAUCGAAGCCCCGGUAAACGGCGGCCGUAACUAUAACGGUCCUAAGGUAGCGAAAUUCCUUGUCGGGUAAGUUCCGACCUGCACGAAUGGCGUAAUGAUGGCCACGCUGUCUCCACCCGAGACUCAGUGAAAUUGAAAUCGCUGUGAAGAUGCAGUGUACCCGCGGCUAGACGGAAAGACCCCGUGAACCUUUACUACAGCUUGGCACUGAACAUUGACCCUACAUGUGUAGGAUAGGUGGGAGGCUUUGAAGCAGGUACGCCAGUAUCUGUGGAGCCGUCCUUGAAAUACCACCCUUGUAGUGUUGAUGUUCUAACGUUGACCCCUUAUCGGGGUUGCGGACAGUGCCUGGUGGGUAGUUUGACUGGGGCGGUCUCCUCCCAAAGAGUAACGGAGGAGCACGAAGGUGGGCUAAUCACGGUUGGACAUCGUGAGGUUAGUGCAAUGGCAUAAGCCCGCUUGACUGCGAGAAUGACAAUUCGAGCAGGUGCGAAAGCAGGUCAUAGUGAUCCGGUGGUUCUGAAUGGAAGGGCCAUCGCUCAACGGAUAAAAGGUACUCCGGGGAUAACAGGCUGAUACCGCCCAAGAGUUCAUAUCGACGGCGGUGUUUGGCACCUCGAUGUCGGCUCAUCACAUCCUGGGGCUGAAGUCGGUCCCAAGGGUAUGGCUGUUCGCCAUUUAAAGUGGUACGCGAGCUGGGUUUAGAACGUCGUGAGACAGUUCGGUCCCUAUCUGCCGUGGGCGUUGGAAGAUUGAAGGGGGCUGCUCCUAGUACGAGAGGACCGGAGUGGACGAACCUCUGGUGUUCGGGUUGUGUCGCCAGACGCAUUGCC